AAACUAAUAAGGUUAGUGUCAGUUUUCAUCUCAAUUAAUAUAUCGGUAAUGAUCUAUAAAAACCAUCAUAUAUAUUUUUGUUGCAGAUUAGCCUUAAAUAGUUUUUAAUUAGCUUACCAAGCAAAGUAAACACUCCAUUAGUGAAUAGUGUAGAAAUCUCAAUAUUUUUAAGAAAUCCACCUAAAUUUUCUUCGGUUGUUUACUUAUUACACUUUUCAAAUUACAUCCAACCAAAGUAGACACUCCAUCACUAUAUGUUUCAUUUUCAUACGAGAAAUAUGUUUAAGUAUCACUCAAAUACAAUGUAUCGUAUUCUCAUAAUAUAUGUACAUUAGUUAUAAAAAUAUUUGGUAAUAUUUUUGAAGGGAAAUAUGCUUCAACUCUAGGUGGGUCUUCAAAAGGUACGUCUUCAAUUAUAAGUGGGUGCUUCAAAUUUAAGCUAUAGGAUCUGGCCUAAGCUGUCUUUUGACAGGAAAAUCUCAUGCAAGAUUAUGAUACAAAGUAUUAGAAAUAUGACAUCCCUAGUUUCCUUGCUGAAACAAUUUUGACCAUUGGAAAAUAUCUAAAUGUCAUAAGAGAAUGUGGGCACUGAACCUCAUAAAAGAAAAGGUCUGAUCCAGGAGGACAUAGGCAUUUAAUUUUCUACUUCACUGCUUUCAUUUCCACGGUAACUUCCUCAACUUGAUCUCUACUCUAGUACUGGCAGUAUGACUUAAUGGGGAAAUUGAGACAUCAAGCACUAUCUGCUUCUCGAUCAGGUAUGGUUAGUGUAUAUGAUUUUUGUUCAUGCUUCUGUUUAAUAUUAGAGCCUUACUGUCACUGCUGGAGAUACUAUCAUGUCUUAGUUCCCACUCAUCCCUCUAAAAAUAUAUAUGGACUCUGAGAUACUUCCGAAAACAAAUGGCUGCACAUUUCUAAUACUUCUGGAUGUUUUCUUACUGCUUUCUAAGUAAGAAUGUUUUUAGCAAGAUGCAGUGGUGGUUUGAUUUACAUCUAGUGCUUUAAUUUUGCAGGAUAGAAGUUUGGAUGGAUGGAUGGAUGGAUUGCUUUUGACUGAAAGUUGCUUCAGAGUAUCAUUUUUUAUUGAAGAUUGUAAAUGACUACUCAAGCUACUUAGAUAUGUUACUUGGUUCGUUGAAUAAUGGAUGGUUAAGUUAUUUGGAUAUAUUUGACAAUUUGAUUAUGGAUGGACGAAGUUAUUUGAAUGAUUAAAUAUUUAUAUAAUAUAUGUUUUUGUUGUAGUAUAUGUUGUGUUUGAGGAUAUUGUAUAUUGUAUAAUUUGUAUUUAGGAAAUUACAAAAAUAGAAAAAAAAAUGCUUGAAUUCUGCAUUUGAAAAUACACAACGGAAAUUAUCGUUAUGUAAAAUACAAAAAAAUGUUAUGUAAACG
rnacentral:lncRNA from 1 species